CCACCCACCCCUCCAUAUGCACACACAAGACACAGACAGGAUGAGCGGAGAAGGCAAGGUGGUAUGUGUAACAGGGGGGUCAGGUUACAUAGCUUCAUGGCUAGUUAAUUUCUUGCUGCAAAAGGGUUAUACAGUCAGAGCCACCGUUCGCGACCCAAGUCAGUAUCUCUCUUUCCAAGUCUUCUUCCUUUCUCUGGUCUUUUUUUAGCCAAUUUGGUCAUAUAUUAGUUAGUGAUUUUGCAUGAUCAUCUUUGGCCUGGAAAAUAAACCCACAGUUACCUGUACAUUUAUCAACUUAACUAACCGAAGUUAGUUUUUCUUUCAUUUCUUUUUUGCUUUUUGCACUUUCUUUUUAUAUUAUACAUUGUGAAGUGUGAAUUCCAAAAAUCAUUUAGCAACCUUUAGUUGAAUUACAUUUAAUACCUACGCUUUUAUAAAAGUGUAACUAUUGAACUUCUAAACUCAUAUACAAACGUAAUUAUUAAACACAUAAACUUUAUAAAACGGUAAUGAAAAGUCAAAAUGUGCAUAAAUCACAUCCACAUGUUCAUCAACUGUAGGAAUUAAAUAUUUACACUUUACAAAGUUCAAACAUCAAAUAGGUUGCAACUAAAGAUACCAAUGACGGGUUGACCGAGUGGUAAUGCAUCCUUGUAGCCCACACCUGGACACAGGUUUGAGUAGUGGAGUCACCAUUCAUGGGAAGGUUUUAACAUAAUUGCAACCCAAACCGAAUAAAUUAGCCUUCCAUCCAACCAUAAAAUGGGAAUGGGGAUACCCUCAAGAGUAUCAAAUGACUUUUCAUGUAAGAUUCAGGGGUCAAAAGAUGUUUUUUAUAAUCUUUUUGAAGGUUCCAUUGAGAACAUUUUUACCAAUUUGUGAAUUUCUUAUUUUCAAUUCCACUGGUUAUUAGUUUUUGUUGCAUCUAGUGUUAAGUCCAUAUUUUUCUAUUUAGACCUGAUUCAGUAAAAACUUAAAAUAUAAAUGUGUGAGAUCCAUAUAUAAAAUAAGUGGAUCCACUAUAUAUUUUAUAUACAUGAUGGAUGCAGUCUAAGAAAUAAUUUUUCAUCCAGCACAUGAACGUGAUUUCGCAAGGUUUUUUUAAAAAAAAAUAUAUGUUACUUGUGAAUUGAAUUGAG
rnacentral:misc_RNA from 1 species